rnacentral:rRNA from 1 species
AUGAACGCUGGCGGCGUGCCUAAUACAUGCAAGUCGAACGCACAGCGAAAGGUGCUUGCACCUUUCAAGUGAGUGGCGAACGGGUGAGUAACACGUGGACAACCUGCCUCAAGGCUGGGGAUAACAUUUGGAAACAGAUGCUAAUACCGAAUAAAACUUAGUGUCGCAUGACACAAAGUUAAAAGGCGCUUCGGCGUCACCUAGAGAUGGAUCCGCGGUGCAUUAGUUAGUUGGUGGGGUAAAGGCCUACCAAGACAAUGAUGCAUAGCCGAGUUGAGAGACUGAUCGGCCACAUUGGGACUGAGACACGGCCCAAACUCCUACGGGAGGCUGCAGUAGGGAAUCUUCCACAAUGGGCGAAAGCCUGAUGGAGCAACGCCGCGUGUGUGAUGAAGGCUUUCGGGUCGUAAAGCACUGUUGUAUGGGAAGAACAGCUAGAAUAGGAAAUGAUUUUAGUUUGACGGUACCAUACCAGAAAGGGACGGCUAAAUACGUGCCAGCAGCCGCGGUAAUACGUAUGUCCCGAGCGUUAUCCGGAUUUAUUGGGCGUAAAGCGAGCGCAGACGGUUUAUUAAGUCUGAUGUGAAAGCCCGGAGCUCAACUCCGGAAUGGCAUUGGAAACUGGUUAACUUGAGUGCAGUAGAGGUAAGUGGAACUCCAUGUGUAGCGGUGGAAUGCGUAGAUAUAUGGAAGAACACCAGUGGCGAAGGCGGCUUACUGGACUGCAACUGACGUUGAGGCUCGAAAGUGUGGGUAGCAAACAGGAUUAGAUACCCUGGUAGUCCACACCGUAAACGAUGAACACUAGGUGUUAGGAGGUUUCCGCCUCUUAGUGCCGAAGCUAACGCAUUAAGUGUUCCGCCUGGGGAGUACGACCGCAAGGUUGAAACUCAAAGGAAUUGACGGGGACCCGCACAAGCGGUGGAGCAUGUGGUUUAAUUCGAAGCAACGCGAAGAACCUUACCAGGUCUUGACAUCCUUUGAAGCUUUUAGAGAUAGAAGUGUUCUCUUCGGAGACAAAGUGACAGGUGGUGCAUGGUCGUCGUCAGCUCGUGUCGUGAGAUGUUGGGUUAAGUCCCGCAACGAGCGCAACCCUUAUUGUUAGUUGCCAGCAUUCAGAUGGGCACUCUAGCGAGACUGCCGGUGACAAACCGGAGGAAGGCGGGGACGACGUCAGAUCAUCAUGCCCCUUAUGACCUGGGCUACACACGUGCUACAAUGGCGUAUACAACGAGUUGCCAACCCGCGAGGGUGAGCUAAUCUCUUAAAGUACGUCUCAGUUCGGAUUGUAGUCUGCAACUCGACUACAUGAAGUCGGAAUCGCUAGUAAUCGCGGAUCAGCACGCCGCGGUGAAUACGUUCCCGGGUCUUGUACACACCGCCCGUCACACCAUGGGAGUUUGUAAUGCCCAAAGCCGGUGGCCUAACCUUUUAGGAAGGAGCCGUCUAAGGCAGGACAGAUGACUGGGGUGA